rnacentral:rRNA from 1 species
AGCGAACGCUGGCGGCAGGCUUAACACAUGCAAGUCGAGCGGGCCCUUCGGGGUCAGCGGCGGACGGGUGAGUAACGCGUGGGAACGUGCCUUCUGGUUCGGAAUAACCCUGGGAAACUAGGGCUAAUACCGGAUACGCCCUUAUGGGGAAAGGUUUACUGCCGGAAGAUCGGCCCGCGUCUGAUUAGCUAGUUGGUGGGGUAAUGGCCUACCAAGGCGACGAUCAGUAGCUGGUCUGAGAGGAUGAUCAGCCACACUGGGACUGAGACACGGCCCAGACUCCUACGGGAGGCAGCAGUGGGGAAUAUUGGACAAUGGGCGCAAGCCUGAUCCAGCCAUGCCGCGUGAGUGAUGAAGGCCUUAGGGUUGUAAAGCUCUUUUAUCCGGGACGAUAAUGACGGUACCGGAGGAAUAAGCCCCGGCUAACUUCGUGCCAGCCGCCGCCGUAA